GGGGAAUUUUCUGCGGKGGGCGAAAGCCUGACGGAGCAAGACCGCGUGGGGGAAGAAGGCUCUUGGGUUGUAAACCCCUUUUCUCUGGGAAGAAAGUUGUGAAAGCAACCUGACGGUACCAGAGGAAUCAGCAUCGGCUAACUCCGUGCCAGCAGCCGCGGUAAGACGGAGGAUGCAAGCGUUAUCCGGAAUGAUUGGGCGUAAAGCGUCCGCAGGUGGCAGUUCAAGUCUGCUGUCAAAGACCGGGGCUUAACUUCGGAAAGGCAGUGGAAACUGAACAGCUAGAGUAUGGUAGGGGCAGAGGGAAUUCCUGGUGUAGCGGUGAAAUGCGUAGAGAUCAGGAAGAACAUCGGUGGCGAAGGCGCUCUGCUGGACCAUAACUGACACUCAGGGACGAAAGCUAGGGGAGCGAAUGGGAUUAGAUACCCCAGUAGUCCUAGCCGUAAACGAUGGAUACUAGGUGUUGUCUGUAUCGACCCGGACAGUGCCGUAGCUAACGCGUUAAGUAUCCCGCCUGGGGAGUACGCACGCAAGUGUGAAACUCAAAGGAAUUGACGGGGGCCCGCACAAGCGGUGGAGUAUGUGGUUUAAUUCGAUGCAACGCGAAGAACCUUACCAGGACUUGACAUGUCGCGAAUCUUUUGGAAACAGAAGAGUGCCUUCGGGAGCGCGAACACAGGUGGUGCAUGGCUGUCGUCGGCUCGUGUCGUGAGAUGUUGGGUUAAGUCCCGCAACGAGCGCAACCCUCGUGUUUAGUUGCCAUCAUUAAGUUGGGCACUCUAAACAGACUGCCGGUGACAAACCGGAGGAAGGUGGGGAUGACGUCAAGUCAGCAUGCCCCUUACGUCCUGGGCUACACACGUACUACAAUGGUAGGGACAGAGGGCAGCCAACCCGCGAGGGCGAGCUAAUCCCGUAAACCCUGCCUCAGUUCAGAUUGCAGGCUGCAACUCGCCUGCAUGAAGGCGGAAUCGCUAGUAAUCGCAGGUCAGCAUACUGCGGUGAAUCCGUUCCCGGGCCUUGUACACACCGCCCGUCACACCAUGGAAGUUGGCCACGCCCGAAGUCAUUACUCUAACCUGUAAAGGAGGAGGAUGCCGAAGGCAGGGCUGAUGACUGGGGUGAAGUCGUAACAAGGUAGCCGUACCGGAAGGUGUGGCUGGAUCACCUCCUUU
rnacentral:rRNA from 1 species